AUUGAACGCUGGCGGAAUGCUUUACAUAUGCAAGUCGAGCGGCAGCACGGGGCAACCUGGCGGCGAGCGGCGAACGGGUGAGUAAUGCAUCGGAACAUGUCCAUGUCGUGGGGGAUAGCCCGGCGAAAGCCGGAUUAAUACCGCAUACGCUCGAGAGAGGAAAGCCGGGGACCGCAAGGCCUGGCGCGAUUGGGUUGGCCGAUGUCCGAUUAGCUAGUUGGUGAGGUAAAGGCUUACCAAGGCGAUGAUCGGUAGCUGGUCUGAGAGGAUGAUCAGCCACACUGGGACUGAGACACGGCCCAGACUCCUACGGGAGGCAGCAGUGGGGAAUUUUGGACAAUGGGGGCAACCCUGAUCCAGCCAUUCCGCGUGAGUGAAGAAGGCCUUCGGGUUGUAAAGCUCUUUUGUCCGGAGCGAAACGGGCGCGGCUAAUACCUGCGUCUACUGACGGUACCGGAAGAAUAAGCACCGGCUAACUACGUGCCAGCCGCCGCAGUAAAAC
rnacentral:rRNA from 1 species